GAUGAACGCUGGCGGCGUGCCUAACACAUGCAAGUCGAACGAAGCAAUUAAGAUGAAGUUUUCGGAUGGAAUCUUGAUUGACUGAGUGGCGGACGGGUGAGUAACGCGUGGAUAACCUGCCUCACACUGGGGGAUAACAGUUAGAAAUGACUGCUAAUACCGCAUAAGCGCACAGUGCCGCAUGGCAGUGUGUGAAAAACUCCGGUGGUGUGAGAUGGAUCCGCGUCUGAUUAGCCAGUUGGCGGGGUAACGGCCCACCAAAGCGACGAUCAGUAGCCGACCUGAGAGGGUGACCGGCCACAUUGGGACUGAGACACGGCCCAAACUCCUACGGGAGGCAGCAGUGGGGAAUAUUGCACAAUGGGCGAAAGCCUGAUGCAGCGACGCCGCGUGAGUGAAGAAGUAUUUCGGUAUGUAAAGCUCUAUCAGCAGGGAAGAAAAUGACGGUACCUGACUAAGAAGCCCCGGCUAACUACGUGCCAGCAGCCGCGGUAAUACGUAGGGGGCAAGCGUUAUCCGGAUUUACUGGGUGUAAAGGGAGCGUAGACGGCGAAGCAAGUCUGAAGUGAAAACCCAGGGCUCAACCCUGGGACUGCUUUGGAAACUGUUUUGCUAGAGUGUCGGAGAGGUAAGUGGAAUUCCUAGUGUAGCGGUGAAAUGCGUAGAUAUUAGGAGGAACACCAGUGGCGAAGGCGGCUUACUGGACGAUAACUGACGUUGAGGCUCGAAAGCGUGNGGAGCAAACAGG
rnacentral:rRNA from 1 species